UACGGGGGGGCAAGCGUUGUUCGGAAUUACUGGGCGUAAAGGGCUCGUAGGCGGCCAACUAAGUCGGAUGUGAAAUCCCCAGGCUUAACCUGGGAACUGCAUCCGAUACUGGAUGGCUUGAAUCCGGGAGAGGGAUGCGGAAUUCCAGGUGUAGCGGUGAAAUGCGUAGAUAUCGUGAGGAAGACCAGUGGCGAAGGCGGGUCUCUGGACAGUUCCUGACACUGAGGCACGAAGGCCAGGGGAGCAAACGGG
rnacentral:rRNA from 1 species